GCCGAGGGGCCGCGGCCUCCGGAGCACAGCUGCGCCUCGUUCGCAGCGCGGGGCGGGUCCGCCCCAAGGCCUCUUAAGCUCCGCCGGAGGCCUCUGGGAGCCACGAGAGGGCUGCCGGAGUGCAUCGUCCGUGGGAGCCGGAGCGGGUUCCGUUUCUGUUGUCCGGUGCUUACGCCGCCGGGGCUGCAAAGCACCGCGAGGGGCUGCUCUUAAAACCGGACCUUGGGAUUCUUUGUAACCUUCUCUGUUUGUUGUUUUGUUUCAGGUUGCGGCGAGCCGACUACCGGUAAAGAUCAGAGCGAACCGGUGAAUCAUUCUGGCGGCAACGGGACCGCGGAGGCGGCCGGCGCUCGGGUCCGUCCGCUCUCGCCGGGCUCCGUUCGCGGGCCGGCACGGGGCUCCCGCAGGGCUGCCCCGGCUUCUCGAAGCCCGUGUCGCAUCGCCACCCGGCUGCCGUCGCGUUUUCGGAGGGAGCUGCCGCUCGGUUCUCCGAGUGCCAACGCGGUCCUGAGGGCUCUCAGUCCCUCUGGGGCUUUUUAGCGGGACUUCAGUUUCUCCCGGUCUUAUCGGCUGAGCGGAGGUUGCAGCAGAACCUCUCGUCAUCCCGACCCGGUGAGAAGGCGGAAGCGGUGAGUGUUUGGGAGUCACUAGCUUCAGGAGCCUGAUCUCACUCCCGUCAUGAAGACGUGGUGGGAGAGAGCGUUUCAUGACUGAAACGCUGUUGUGGAUGGCUGCGUUCCUUAUAGGAGAGACAAAGGGUGAGGUGGUGAGUUUCUCUUCCGGUGAGAGAACUGGAACGUACUGAGCUUCCACGACAUGAUGGGAAAGCUUGAGUCUAGGUGACAGCUGCAAGUGACCUGAUGAGCAAAAAUUUCGAAGUAGUCACAGUGAAUUCGGUGAGGAGAAGUGAUGCUAGACCAAGGAGGUAGCCUUCUGUGUUGUGACUGGUUAGACGAGAGGAGGGCUGUGGAUGGUAUGGGGGAAAUAUCUUACUGUCGGUAAUUAUCUGAAGUGCAGGAGUCUUGCUGACGGUGACGACGGGCUCAUUCAGGCACCGACAGGAGGCGUGAGGUGGAAACAUUCACAGACCGGAACGUCAGAAGUAAGACUGCUUGUGCUGCGAGAGUGAUAGAAUAGGCUGCGGAGUCUCCUUCUCCGGGGGAUUGCAGGUUGCCUCCGGAUGCUGUUCCGGGUGAUGUGUAACCGGGAAACGGCCCUGGACGACAUCGUCGCAGGGCGAGUGCCGCAACCGAGCAUUUAGCAGCGAGGAUCCGCUUGAGCAUGGGAGCGGUUUCAUCGGCGGUGAGCGACCCGAGAGCUGCCCUCCCCCAGCGUCCUCUGAGAAGCGGUUCACGGAGCUCUCCUGCGUGUCCAGGGCCGGAGCGAGGAUCGUGCUGGUGAGGUAAGCGGUGUCCUCUGGUGCCUGAUCUGUGCGUGUUGCCUCCGGGCUGGAGUUUCCAGCUGGGAUCGGGUGCCAGGGGACACAAGUUUUUGUUUAAGGCUGUUGGGGUGUGUGGUUUCUUUUUUGAGUCUUCAAGGUGUGUGUGUUGGCUCUACUGCCGGAAGAAUGGAAUUGACAGACUGAAGGGAGAAGCGCAGCCUGCAGGAUUCUGUCACCUGUUUCCUGCGGGGAGCUUGGUGAGGUCCACCUUGGCCAACGUGUGUUUUUACUUUAGGUUGUGUUGCAGCAGGCAUCCUGAGAGGAAAGUCCCUGUCCUCGGCUGGCAGGCAUGCUGCACCCAUGGAAGGAGCAGAGGAGAGCCCCCAGCGAAAGGCAAUUCAGCUGCCCUCCUGGAAGGGGUGGAGCCUGGCUGCACCUCUCCGAGAUCGAUUGAAGAGCUGACUGUGAGUGUGGAAGGAUCUCUUGGAGUCUUCCCUGUAAGCCUGGAAAAAGGUAGGAGAUGGAGUUGGGUUCUGUAUCCUGCUGAAGGAGAAAACUCAGUUUAUUUCAAGCCCCAGGUAAAACCUGUUUGAAACUGACAUGGGAGGGUGCUUGCUCUGUAGUAAUUUAAUGUGCCUGGAGGGGUGUGGGGGCAUUUUGCUCUUAACAGGGUUUGGGUAAGUGGAUAGAAGUGAAGUGCUCCUGUGGUGUCUCAGUGUAUGUCCUGCAUAUGCUAUGGCUGGCUUACAAUAUCAACAGGCUAAAUAGGCUGAGAGAGCAAAGAAGUCACAGAGCAGCAAUUUUCUUCCUUUGUUACCAUCUCCUCUUGGAGAUUGGUCUAAAAGGAAAAUAAAGUGAAAAUGCUCAUGGAAGCUCCUUUUGAGAGUGCUCUCUGAGGCCAGCUCAAUUAUUAUAUGAAAAUGUAUAAAACUCUCUUGUGGGUAAGGUUUUACUCAGUAUUUAAGAGCAUGCUUCCUCUAAAAUGCACCCAAUUGAAUCACUGGGCAGGUGACUUUAAGUUGUCUAAAUGUAUAGUGAAAAGCUAAGUCUCCUACUUUGAGAAGUCUAUUGCUUCAGUUUCACUUUGGCAAGAAAUGAGAGAAGGUCUUUAAAUAUAAUUGUUCUCAUUUCAACAUGUGCCCCCAAAAUGUUGGUAACUAAGCUUGCUUCUGUGAGAUAGAAAGCCACUGAUGAUAAUUCCCUUUUUGUGGAAGAAUUAUUGGCCUAUGGAGGCUUUUUGCAAUGACUUUCUACUGCAGAUGUGAAUGCCCUGUGUUGUGUGUGAGAACUGGAACGCCUAUGAAUAUCUGUGCUAAAAUGGAAUGGCUAGGCUCAGCUAGCUCCAGUUCUUGUGGUGAAGUGGAUACCUGCCUGUCUGUGACUGAAAACAACAGCAUUGAUUUGUUUUCCUCAUCCGCUGAACAGCCUGGCCAUCAAAUCUUUGCAGUGCUGGAGAGAAGGUUGUUGUGGGGGACAGUGUCAAAAGCCUUACUGAAAUCCAGACAGUUGACAGCAGCAGCUCUUGCCUGGUCUGCUCACGCUGUCAUAGGAAGAAAGGCGAGUAGAUUGUUCAGGUGGGAUCCACCCUUGUUGAAGCUAGGUUGGUCUCAUUUCAUUUCUCUCCUAUGUGUGCCAUAGCAUGCAUUCUGGGAGGAUCUGUUCCAUGAUCUCCUCCAGUAUGGAGACAAGGCUGACAGGCUGGCAGUUUCUUAAGUCCUCCUUUAUACUCCUCUUAGAAAUCAGCAGGACAUCACCCUUUUUCCAGCCACCACGAGGACUUCACUCGAGUGCCCUGACUCCUGAAAUCCCAUCGAGAGUGGCUUGGCAGCUGCGUACACCGAUUCUCUGAAGGCUCUGCGAUGCGUUUCGUUGGGACCCGCCAGGUUCCUCAAGUGGCUGCGAAGCUGAUCUUUGCUUACGGUGGGAGGGAUGCAGUCCUCACCUUUCAGCCGCUGCACUCAGGGGGGCGGUGAGGAGCAGCUGACAGUAAAGAAAGAGGCAGAAGUGUUAAGUACCUCAGCUUUCUUCUCUCCUAUUAUUAACAGCCUGCCUGUAUUGCUCACUGGGGUGUGUAUGCCGGCCUGGACUUUGUUUUGUCUUGUUUACCUGUGUUUUUCUUGGCAGUCCAAGUAUGCUGCAAAUUUGUCAGCAUCUAUUGAAGUAACACAGGGCUCUAUCAGCAAUGGAAGCAAUACUGCCUGGAGGAUAAACAGUUACUGGCAUUCUAGAAAUAGCAAAGCACUGAAGUUACCAGUCUCACAGGUGUUUCAAAGGUGCUAAAAUGUAAACCUCUGAUAGAAAAAAACAAAUAAAAAAAGUCAGUAUUUGCCAGUCUUGACUACACUGUGACAUUGUGGCAUUUGCUUUAUAAAACAAGACCUGUCAUAUAAAAUGUAGAACUAUAGAUAAAUGCUGAAAAGAAUGUCUCCUUGGCAAUAAACAAAAUGCUGGUACA